GACUCGGUGGCGGAUGGUCCGCGUCUGCCCCUGCUAGCUAUGCCGGCGGAAGGAUUUUCAGCAGAUAAUGCCUGUUCGAAUCAGGCCUGAGUCA